UAUAUAUUGGGACAUAUAAAAAAAGACAACUCUGUUCCGCAGAGUAGCUGUUGACAUUAUAGUUGCGCUGGAACUUUGUUGACUCUAGAGAACCUCGGGCAAAUCGCACAUCCCCGUGGAGGCGAUUUUGCGAGCGGAUGUCAUCCAUAUCAACUUUCGAUGUCAGUUUCUGCACCUCUCAUGGUGACCACGGGUAACAGGGAAUCAGGGUUCCAUUCUGCACAGGGACCCAGAGAAACGGCUACCACAUGCAAGGAAGGCAGCAGGCGUGCAAAUGACCCACUCCCGACGCGGGAAGGUAGUAACA